rnacentral:rRNA from 1 species
AUUGAACGCUGGCGGCGUGCUUAACACAUGCAAGUCGAACGAAGUGGCGAACGGGUGAGUAACGCGUAAUCAACCUGCCCUUCAGAGGGGGACAACAGUUGGAAACGACUGCUAAUACCGCAUACUGAAGGCGGGGAUUGCGUCUGAUUAGCUAGUUGGAGGGGUAACGGCCCACCAAGGCGAUGAUAAGUAGCCGGUCUGAGAGGAUGAACGGCCAAAUUGGGACUGAGACACGGCCCAGACUCCUACGGGAGGCAGCAGUGGGGAAGCUUCCGAAAUGGACGAAAGUCUGACGGAGCAACGCCGCGUGAGUGAUGACGGCCUUCGGGUUGUAAAGCUCUGUUAAUCGGGACGCGGUACCGGAAUAGAAAGCCACGGCUAACUACGUGCCAGCCGCCGCGGUAAUAC